CAGCCGCCGCGGGAAUACGAAGGGGGCUAGCGUUGUUCGGAAUUACUGGGCGUAAAGCGCACGUAGGCGGAUAUUUAAGUCAGGAGUGAAAUCCCAGAGCUCAACUCUGGAACUGCCUUUGAUACUGGGUAUCUUGAGUAUGGAAGAGGUGAGUGGAAUUCCGAGUGUAGAGGUGAAAUUCGUAGAUAUUCGGAGGAACACCAGUGGCGAAGGCGGCUCACUGGUCCAUUACUGACGCUGAGGUGCGAAAGCGUGGGGAGCAAACAGGAUUAGAUACCCCAGUAGUCCCUGUCUCUUAUAC
rnacentral:rRNA from 1 species